rnacentral:rRNA from 1 species
AACCAUAGGCCAUGAAUCUGGUCUUGGGACACUGUCAGGUGGGCAGUUUGACUGGGGCGGUCGCCUCCCAAAAGGUAACGGAGGCGCUCAAAGGUUCUCUCAGUACGGUCGGAAAUCGUACGUAGAGCGUAAAGGCAAAAGAGAGCUUGAUUGCAAGACAUACAGGUCGAGCAAGGAUGAAAAUCGGACUUAGUGAUCCGGUGGUUCUGCGUGGAAGGGCCAUCGC